GUCUCUGGAGCCAUUAGGGAGCUGUGCCAGCUUGUUUGCACUUGCAUGCCUAAGAUAUGGCGAGGCAUUUGCAUGAAAGGCACAGAUGCAGUAAAGCGAAAAAAGCCAAACAUUGUGUAAACCUAACCUAACAGUGUUUCUGCAGCUCUGUAUCACAGCAUCAACCAGCACAUACAGUGGAAAGUGGGUCUCCCCACAGACUCUUUCUUCAAGACCAACUCAAAGAAGCGUUCUCAACAGAAGCCAAACAACCAUAAUCGCUCAUCACCACAACCCUCAAGGUCUGGGAAAAGGUCACGUCUAUUGUGGGUUGAAGGAAGCCUAUGGAGUGCCUGAGGGAGUGAAGGAGAGAGGACUUGGCAUCACACCGGCAGAACGUGGAGCAACACCGCUUGGCAAGGCAUUGCUCUUUCGGGGGCAAUGAAAAAUAAUUUCCUCCUGAAAAAGCAGCACGAGGGAAUACUUCUUGGACUGGACAUGAAGAAUAUGAGCCAUGCCGAAAGAAUGCACGCUUGACUGUGACCGCC
ensembl:lncRNA